rnacentral:ncRNA from 3 species
CCUGCUGUACGACCAGCAGUAGCCUAGGAAGACAUGCGUCACUGGUAACGGUGGGGUGUGAAGCUCUUCUGACAACGUAGCCCCCGGAUUUUCGGGCAUGCACGUGCCGUGAGGUGCGGGCAUGGAGACUCCUAGCAGCGAUGGGGUCAAGGAG